UACGAAGGGUGCAAGCGUUAGUCGGAAUUACUGGGCGUAAAGCGUGCGUAGGCGGUUUGUUAAGUCGGAUGUGAAAGCCCCGGGCUCAACCUGGGAAUGGCACUCGAUACUGGCAAGCUGGAGUACGGUAGAGGAUGGUGGAAUUCCCGGUGUAGCGGUGAAAUGCGUAGAGAUCGGGAGGAACAUCUGUGGCGAAGGCGGCCAUCUGGACCAGUACUGACGCUGAGGCACGAAAGCGUGGGGAGCAAACAGG
rnacentral:rRNA from 1 species